UUAUGAUAUAUCAACUACAAUCAGUUAUCAACAACACUAAUUAAUUAUCCGCUAUCAGUUAUUAAUUGUAUUCAUAAUUAAAUCAAACAGAACCUACAAGUGGGUAAAAUUUUCAUGUUGUUAGAUCACAAGGGAAAUAUUUUUUUAUCUUAUUUAUGAAUCCUUAGGUAGAUGGUUUACAUUUAGAUAUCCUUAAAAAAAAAAAACUUUGAUACCCAUGAUGAGAAAUCAAGCAAAAGCUAGUCAAGCAUUCUACAACCUGAAAAUCCUGUAGAUGUAGAAAUUCUACCAAAACAUUAGGUAUGCAUUGGAUGGUUUUGUAGAAUUAUAAACAGUUCGGAUUUUUCAUUGAAAAAGUGAAUGGCCUAAGAAAGUGAGGUUUUAGAGUAGGUGAAGUUGGUAAAGUGCAGGAAGUCAUUAGUUUUGAUUUGGGGAAUCAUGCAACAGUUUCAUUACUUCUAUGAUGAAUUAUUGGGGUGCACCAUUUUCAUCACAACACAUACAUCCCAUCCCAUACUUGCCUAUAUCUACACACAUUUCACAAAAUUCAAUGGAAACUUCCAAUAUUAAUGAUAUCUAUUUCAAUUAUCUCUCUACUGAUAUGUGAUUAGGUAUCUGUAAUUGUUUGGUAGCCUCCUUUGUUUAUUUCUUCAAUUCGAAGCUGAAACUUUUUCAAUAUAAUUUAAGCGUUUUCCACCAUUAAUAACUUCGAAGGUGAGUGAUUGAAGUAGAACUAAUGCAUCAUAUUGUUUGAUUCAUGAUGUAAUGGUGAGGUUAAUCGACUGAGUAUUAAUUAUAUUAUUAUUAUUAUUGAGAGAGGACAAAUUAAGAGUAGAGACUCGAAUUUGACUCUGUCAAAUGAGUAAUAUGUUUUUAGCCAUUGAAUUAAAUCGCUAGGCAAUAUAAACAUGAGAUAAAUAUUUUAGAUUAAGUAGAAAAUUAGGAUUAACUUUCUCUUUCUAAUCUAAAAUAUUUCUAGUAGACUCCAAAAUUGUGGAAGGUGAUUAAUUGGUUAUCCAUUAACAUCAGAAAAUGUAUUCAUUUGACGAGAGUUGGGAUUAAUUCCAUGAAACUUUCUUACUAAGAAAGCAAUAUCAAUACCCACAAAAAUCACCCUUUCAAAAGGGAACUUUCUCUUCAUUCACAAGCCAUCAAUAAAAGACUUGCAUGCAAAAUCAUAAAUUCAAUUAUUUUCUUUUUUAUUUUUUUUUCAAAAUUAAUAUUAAUCAUACAAAACUUAGUGAUUAAACCUUUCAAUGCUAUAAAAAGCUUUAUCCAAUCCAUGUGGAGGUGUUGGAAUUCUAGUUGAGCAAGCCCUACUAGCAUAGCAGGUUACAAUUGUUGAUGGUGAUUAAACAGGCAGAAAGGUUGGGAGACUUUAACAUUUGCCCCUUUUUCUUUAUUGCAUUGGAGUCCCAGCUGGUCCAUUAAGCAUAUGAAUGUUUGAAAGGGUAUCAACUUUCCAAUAAUGUUCUUACAUCUCACCUUUUCUUAAACUUGUAGGCUAAAUUGAGUAGGCUUUAAGGUGUAAUAUAGUCCACAUAUUUCUUUCUCUCUUUAUAGUAAUGAUGCUUAAUUAAGAUCUGUUAAUCAUCAUUCAUUUUUGAAAGUUACAUAUAAAUGAAACUUACAAUGUAGAUGUACCAGAAGAGCACCAUCAUCUUCAACAGAAAAUUAAUAGCAUUAAGCU
rnacentral:misc_RNA from 1 species